UGGGGAAUAUUGGACAAUGGGGGGAACCCUGAUCCAGCCAUGCCGCGUGUGUGAAGAAUUCCUUAUGGUUGUAAAGCACUUUAAGCGAGGAGGAGGGUACUGGUAUUAAUACUACCAGGUACUGGACGUUACUCGCAGAAUAAGCACCGUCUAACUCUGUGCCAGCAGCCGCGGUAAUACAGAGGGUGCAAGCGUUAAUCGGAAUUACUGUGCGUAACGCGCGCGUAGGUGGUUCGUUAAGUUGAAUGUGAGAGCGCCGGGCUAAACCUGGGAACUGAAUCCAAGACUGGCGAGCUAGAGGAGGGCAGAGGGUGGUGGAAUUUCCUGUGUAGCGGUGAAAGGAGUAGAUAUAGGAAGGAAAAACAGUGGCGAAGGAGACAACCUGGGCUCAUACUGACACUGAGGUGCGAAAGCGUGGGGAGCAAACAGG
rnacentral:rRNA from 1 species